UUAAAUAAAAAUCGGUGUUGUUGCUGCGUUUUCGUGGUGACGCGUCGGAAUUGGGUCGUCUUAACUUCGGUUUAAGUGAUUUAAAAUUUUUCAUGAUUUUUGAACGUAUUUAAAUUGCUUACGUACGUUUGAGAUUUCGAAUGUUUAUUAGGUUCGGUCAUCCUCAUGACCCGCGCCUAUAAUUUUUCAUU
rnacentral:misc_RNA from 1 species